UGGGAACGUGCCUUUUGGUUCGGAACAACCCAGGGAAACUUGGGCUAAUACCGGAUAAGCCCUUACGGGGAAAGAUUCAUCGCCAAAAGAUCGGCCCGCGUCUGAUUAGCUAGUUGGUGGGUAAUGGCCCACCAAGGCGACGACGGGUAGCUGGUCUGAGAGGAUGAUCAGCCACAUUGGGACUGAGACACGGCCCAGACUCCUACGGAGGCAG
rnacentral:rRNA from 1 species